rnacentral:rRNA from 1 species
AAGUCGAACGGAAGUCGUUGUAAUGAAUUUGAAGUGGACAGAGAACUUGUUCAAAGAAAGCAAAUGAUGAUUUACAACAAUGGCUUUAGUGGCGGACUGGUGAGUAACGCGUAAGCAAUCUGCCUAUUAGAGGGGAAUAACAAUGAGAAAUCAUUGCUAAUACCGCAUAUGCCAUAAGAAUCACAUGAUUCCAGUGGGAAAGGAGCAAUCCGCUAAUAGAUGAGCUUGCGUCUGAUUAGUUAGUUGGUGGGGUAACGGCCUACCAAGACGACGAUCAGUAGCCGGACUGAGAGGUUGAACGGCCACAUUGGGACUGAGAUACGGCCCAGACUCCUACGGGAGGCAGCAGUCGGGAAUAUUGCGCAAUGGAGGAAACUCUGACGCAGUGACGCCGCGUAUAGGAAGAAGGUUUUCGGAUUGUAAACUAUUGUCGUUAGGGAAGAUACAAGACAGUACCUAAGGAGGAAGCUCCGGCUAACUACGUGCCAGCAGCCGCGGUAAUACGUAGGGAGCGAGCGUUAUCCGGAUUUAUUGGGUGUAAAGGGUGCGUAGACGGACUUACAAGUUAGCUGUGAAAUCCCUCGGCUUAACUGAGGAACUGCAACUAAAACUGUAAGCCUUGAGUGCAGGAGAGGUAAGUGGAAUUCUUAGUGUAGCGGUGAAAUGCGUAGAUAUUAGGAGGAACACCAGUGGCGAAGGCGACUUACUGGACUGUAACUGACGUUGAGGCACGAA